GGGAGUUUAGCUCAGCUGGGAGAGCAUCUGCCUUACAAGCAGGGGGUCAUAGGUUCAAGUCCUAUAACUCCCACCA
rnacentral:tRNA from 1 species